rnacentral:rRNA from 1 species
AGUGGAUGGGGAGCAACCUAGUUGUGCGUGUGUAAAGGUAGUGCCAAGAAAAGCGGUGAUCAUGAUGAAAAUCAAUUCCCGGUACCCGAAACCGACACAGGUGGGCAAGUAGAGAAUACUAAGGGGCGCGAGGUAACUCUCUCCAAGGAACUCGGCAAAAUGACCCCGUAACUUAGGGAGAAGGGGUGCCACCGAGAGGUGGUCGCAGUGAAGAGGCCCAGGCGACUGUUUAGCAAAAACAUAGGUCUCUGCAAACUCGAAAGAGGAGGUAUAGGGGCUGACGCCUGCCCAGUGCCGGAAGGUUAAAGAAGUUGGUCAGUCUUAGGAUAAAGCUAGCGACUGAAGCCCCGGUGAACGGCGGCCGUAACUAUAACGGCCCUAAGGUAGCGAAAUUCCUUGUCGGGUAAGUUCCGACCCGCACGAAAGGCGUAACGAUCUGGGCGCUGUCUCGGAGAGAGGCUCGGCGAGAUAGGAUUGUCUGUGAAGAUACGGACUACCUGCAUUUGGACAGAAAGACCCUAUGAAGCUUUACUAUAGCUUGGAAUUGUGUUCGGGCUUCCUGUGCGCAGGAUAGGUGGGAGGCGAAGAAGGUAUUCUUGUGGGGAUACUGGAGCCAACGGUGAGAUACCACUCUCAGGAGGCUAGAAUUCUAACUUAAUUAAGGACAGUUUCAGGUGGGUAGUUUGACUGGGGCGGUCGCCCCCAAAAAGGUAACGGAGGCGUACAAAGGUUCCCUCAGACUGGUUGGAAAUCAGUCGCAGAGUGCAAAGGCAGAAGGGAGCUUGACUGCGAGAAGUACAGUUCGAGCAGGGUGGAAACACGGUCUUAGUGAUCCGACGGUGCUGUGUGGAAGGGCCGUCGCUCAACGGAUAAAAGUUACUCUAGGAUAACAGGCUGAUCUCCCCCAAGAGUUCACAUCGACGGGGAGGUUUGGCACCUCGAUGUCGGCUCAUCGCAACCUGGGGCGGAAGUACGUCCCAAGGGUUGGGCUGUUCGCCCAUUAAAGCGAUACGUGAGCUGGGUUCAGAACGUCGUGAGACAGUUCGGUCCAUAUCCGAUGUAGGCGUGAGAAUAUUGAGAGGAGCCUUCCUUAGUACGAGAGGACCGGGAAGGACGCACCGCUGGUGUACCUGUUAUGAUGCCAAUUGUAAACGCAGGGUAGCCAAGUGCGGAGAGGAUAACCGCUGAAAGCAUCUAAGUGGGAAGCCCACCUCAAGAUGAGUAUUCUGGUGUAAGGUCACGGGAAGACGACCCGUAAAUAGGCACGAGGUGGAAGUGCAGAGAUGUAUGAAGCCGAAGUGUACUAAUAGACCGUCGGCUUG